CGGCAAAGAAGAAGAAGACAAAUUUUCGCGAGAUGACGACGAUCUGUUUCUGUCCUCAGUGGUGCGCGUUUGUUGCUGAUAAAAAUUAAAAUUUCGCCUUUGGAACUCCUGCAAAACAACUCAAAACCGUGCUCAAUUCGUUCCUCCAGAGCUGGUGCAGUGAAAUCGAUACGGCGAUGGCCACCAGGGAAAUUAUCAUUGCCUCGGAAGAUACAGAAUCAUCCGGAGCGGAGGAAAAAACACCGGACAAACUGGACCAAAAGAAAUCCAAAAAGCAUAAGAAACACAAGAAGCACAAGAAGUCCAGCCGCGUCGAGAAAGGCGACAAAUCCAAAUCGAAAAAACACAAGAAGCACAAACGGAAGCACCGGGAGGAGGAAGGCGAGCUAUCCGAUUCGGAAGAUGACAACGAAGAAAGUGCUAAAAGUACGUCCAAAAUUGACAUACGGAAGCUGGAGCACGCCAUUCGUGUCAAGCCCAAAGAUGACGACAGCAAGCCAAAGGACAAUGGAAAUUUGAAGGCUUCUCUUGAGAAGCGUAAGGCAUCGCUGGUGCCGGAAAUUUCUACGGAUCCGGAAAAGCUGGUUGCCAUUCUGACGCAAUCUUUGGACAAGACCAAAACGGACAUCGAUAAACCGACUGAACCAGCUGAGGUUGUCUCGGUUGAAAGCGACAGCGAUGGAACGGCCGUAGAAGAUGCGCCCAGUCCGGAUGUGGCCGUCAUAGAAGAUGAGCUAAAUCUGGAAGAUUUAAUGCGGCAAAAGGCUCUGCUUCAAGCUUGUCUUGGUGAAUUUGGUUCCGAGGAUGAAGAAGAGGAAGCCGAAGCGAAUGACGCAUCGGUUAAGGUGGAUAAGCGGAAAAAGAAGAAAACCGACGACAUCAUCAUGAUCGAAGGAGAUUCCAGCGCUGAAGAUGUGAACCGGCUAUUGAAGAAAGCCCGCCAACGGAGUCCCCGGGAAGAACGCAAGAGAAAGACGUCUGAGUCGGAGAAGCGAAUGAGCCGUGGAGAAGCGGAAGCAAAGGCCCGUGCCAAACAGCAGGAAAUGGAUCGGGAACGUGCUCGCGAAGAACAUCGGCGGCAACGUGAACAGGAUGACCACAAUCGUCGAAUGGCCGAGGAACGUUACGAGCGGGAAAGGGCUCGGGACAGAGAACGCGAACGGGAACGAGAGCGGGAUCGUGAGAGAGAUCGUGCCCGAGCACGGCAACGCGAAAGGGAUCGAUCUCUGGAACGGUACCGGGAUCGGAGGGGUUCCUCCAGGGAUCGACGUUCGAUGGAGCGCAUGGGCGGCAAUGGCAGGAUGUACAAUUCACGUGAUCGGUAUCGUGGGCGAAGUCGAAGCCGGGACAGGGACCGCGAUCGUGACGACCGGGGUCGAUAUGAUCGCGAUAGAAACGAUCGCGACCGAAACGGAAGGGAUCGACGUGGUGGUCCAGGGAAGCGUCGACCCGAGGACGAUAAGUUUAAGGACUCGUUGAGUGAAGGUCUCAAACAGCAGAAGGAAUCUAGCAGUGAUAGUGAGCUGGGUGAUAUUGAUAUUGACGAUGAGGAAGACGAAGAGAAGAUCAUCGAAAAGAGGAGGAAGCAGCGCGAGGAACUUUUGAAGAAACUAGGAGCAACAAACGAAGACAGUAAUCCACCGUCAGAAUCACCCAAAGCAGAAGCGAUUCAGACUAAAACUGAAUCAAAACCAGUCGCAAAACACGAUCGGAGUAGUAAUCAUGUCAGUAAAUCUCGUAAAAAGUCCGAAGAGUUUUUCAUCAUCGACGAACCUUCGCCCAUGGAUUCCAAGAAAGCUAAAAAUUUGCUCAACGAUUCAUUAACUCCUCCCAUCCCCAUAACCCGAGUGGAUGCAGAUGAUCGCAAUGAGUUGAACGAUGUGGAAAAGUCCAAACUGGACAAGGAUAAAUCGAGCAAACGUGCCGAAUGGGACAUGUUUGCCGAGCAGGAUAUUGACUCGAACUUCGAUUCGCCCAAUACGGUGAUUGCCAAUAAGCAAGGCAACGAAAACCCUGCCCUUACCGACAACUGGGACGAUGCGGAAGGGUACUACCGGGUGCGUAUUGGAGAGGUGCUGGAUAAUCGCUAUGUGGUCGCCAACUAUACGGGCCAGGGUGUUUUCAGCACGGUAGUUCGCGCAAAAGAUCAGGCUCGAGGAAACGCCUUGGUUGCUGUGAAGAUCAUCAGGAAUAACGAAAUUAUGCAUAAAACCGGUCUUCGUGAGUUGGAUACACUGAAGAAACUCAACGACACAGAUCCUGAGGAUCGAUAUCACUGUCUCAGACUGUUUCGUCACUUUUUCCACAAACAGCAUCUCUGCAUGGUCCUAGAACCGCUCUCUAUGAAUCUUCGCGAGGUACUUAAGAAAUACGGCAAAAACGUCGGUUUGCACAUUAAAGCUGUCCGCAGCUACACGCAGCAGCUCCUGUUGGCCCUGAAGCUUCUCAAAAAGUCCAAUAUCCUGCACGCCGACAUCAAACCGGACAACAUUCUGGUCAACGACAACAAUCUGGUGCUGAAGUUGUGCGAUUUCGGCUCGGCUUCCUCGGUGGCAGACAACGAUAUCACGCCGUACUUGGUAUCACGGUUCUAUCGUGCACCGGAGAUCAUUCUCGGCCUUCCGUACGACUACGGAAUCGACAUGUGGUCCGCCGGUUGCACCAUCUAUGAAUUGUAUACUGGCAAAAUUUUAUUUAGUGGUAAAUCAAAUAAUCAAAUGCUUAAAUUUUUUAUGGAUUUAAAGGGCAAGAUACCGAACAAGAUCAUUCGGAAAGGACAGUUCAAAGACCAGCACUUCGAUCCGAACUGCAACUUCCUAUCGCAUGAGAUCGAUAAGAUUACAGAACGGGAAAAAAUCGUCGUCGUGUCGGUGAUCAAGCCGAACAGAGAUCUGCAGCAGGAGUUGAUCGCCGGUCAGAACCUACCGGAUGACCAGAUUCGCAAGGUAUCGCAACUGAAGGAUCUACUGGACAAGGUCUUCGCGCUGGAUCCGGCGAAGCGAAUUUCCUUGAACCACGCACUGGCGCAUCCAUUCAUUCAGGAUAAGAUCUAAUCAAGAUAGUCCUGUGGGAAGCUCCCACCCCGUACGAAGCAUGGAUUCCAGUUGCAUACGGGCAUACCAGAAUAUCAGUGUGUGAAAAUGAACGCGUUAGAUGAUCUCUUGUUUUUAAGAUGCAAAAAUAAGAGAGCACAUCGUUCGCGCACGAGGCUGGCUGGCCGCGGACGGGGCCGGGCCCAAGACACGGCCGCUGUGCAGCGCAGUCCCACCACAUCUGCCUCUCUUUGUCAAUCUCAAGCCACCAAACGCAAACUGCUCUCGAGUGCUCUAAAUCCUGCAUCUUGUGCCAUAGCGAAGAGCAUCGCACCACUCUUCUAGUCCAAAGAUUCUGACCCACAAUUAUCCACGAGUUGUAGAGCUUGUUUGAGUGCGCCUAAGGUUGAGCAGUGCCUAUUUUUUCUGGCGCCGAAAGAGGUAGUGACAUAAUUGACAUUUACAAACACAACUCUCUGUUUAGUUUAUUAAGUAUAAUUUUUGACCCUAUUCCUGAUACAUUAGCAAAUUUGUUUCGAUCCUACUUGCAUCACUUUUAUCAAAAAAAAAGUUCAAACUGAGAGUCAACCUAGCCAUUCCAUACCGGACCUUUACCGUGAACGAUUGAUCUUCUGCUGUUCUUUUUUAUUAUUCUUUUCAGGGACGAAGAACAUGACGUGUUGGAUCUAGAACUAUUUGGUCCUACUCAUCGUGAGUCUAAGCCACGACACGUUUGUUGAGUUGUAAUAGAAACAAGGAUCGUACUGAUGGAAUUAUAUUUAGAGUAGUAUGACAACGGGAGAUUUGCCAGGCUCUAUCGGAUCAGCAGAAAAAAAAACGAAAUGGACAUUCCAAAGCGCGCGAUGGGCUGUGCGAGAUAUUUCAAGCUUUUCCGUUAAAAGAGUGGUGAAGUACACCAAGAGGAGAAAAAAGUUCCGUAAAAUUCCCGCAGAGCUAAACUACAAGCAUCCAACCAACGACAAACAGCUGGGAGAACAGAAUAUCGGUUUCUGAAUACUGCCGGAGCAGAGAUGGGCCGGAAGCUCGUUAGGCAGCAAAAGGAGAUAAUGCUGGAACCCAUUUGAUCACCAAGGACAAGGAAACCGUUAAAGCCGAAAUAGGAACUGGGAUUUUCAAGAAACGGUGAAGAUUCUCUGUUGGGUGUUUAUGGCGGCGUCCACAGUUUUCAUACAAGCUGCGAGUUUUUGUUGAAGCUUCGUCCUUAAACGAUUAGCAUUCGCAAGCAGCUAAUCGUAGGCAGGAAAUUUACUUUUACUAUGCAAAUAUAAUUUCCUCUCUGAAUAAAUUUA